CCUACGGGAGGCAGCAGUGGGGAAUAUUGCACAAUGGGGGAAACCCUGAUGCAGCGACGCCGCGUGAGUGAAGAAGUAUUUCGGUAUGUAAAGCUCUAUCAGCAGGGAAGAAAAUGACGGUACCUGCCUACGAAGCCCCGGCUAAAUACGUGCCAGCAGCCGCGGUGAUAAGUGGGGGGGAAGCGGUAUCCGGGUUUAUUGGGUGUAAAGGGGGCGUCGUUGGCAGAGUAAGCCAGAUGUGAAAAGCCAGGGGUCAACUCCGCGGAUUGCUUUUGGAACUAUCAAGCUCGAGUGCUCGAGAGGUAAGCGGAAUUCCUAGUGUAGCGGUGAAAUGCGUAGAUAUUAGGAGGAACACCGGUGGCGAAGGCGGCUUACUGGACAGAAACUGACGCUGAGGCUCGAAAGCGUGGGGAGCAAACAGGAUUAGAUACCCCAGUAGUC
rnacentral:rRNA from 1 species